rnacentral:rRNA from 1 species
UACGUAGGGUGCAAGCGUUAAUCGGAAUUACUGGGCGUAAAGCGUGCGCAGGCGGCUUUGCAAGACAGAUGUGAAAUCCCCGGGCUUAACCUGGGAACUGCAUUUGUGACUGCAUGGCUGGAGUGCGGCAGAGGGGGAUGGAAUUCCGGGUGGAGUGGUGAAAUGCGUAGAGAUCCGGAGGAACACCAAAGGCGAAGGCAGUGUCCUGGGGAGUACCUGACGCUCAGGUGCGAAAGCCAGGGGAGCGAACGGG